rnacentral:lncRNA from 1 species
ACUAUCCCUCCCCUCCAUCUCAUGGUGGAAGCCCUCCAAGUACUCCUAGUACCCCCAGUACACCAUCCACCCCCUCCACACCUACUAUUGUAACCCCACCUACACCUCCUACAAUAGACCCUGGCACUCCAAGUACUCCAGGGGGUGGUUACUAUGGUGGAAGUCCUCCAAGUAUUCCUACCCCUAGUAUUACACCCCCUACCCCUUCUACACCUAUCAUUGAAACACCACCAACUACUCCAGUCGUUGAAACACCACCAACUACUCCUACCAUUGAUCCAGGUACUCCAAGUGCUCCAGGGGUCUUUCCAAUUGACCCCAACUCACCACC